UCCACCUUAACUGCCAUAAUUUUACAAGAGUCCAAAUCCCUAAUUUCCCUCCCUCAUAUUCAAUUUUAAUUUUUCCCAAAUUCCUUGCAAUCUUGUCUUCUAGUUCCAGUCCAUGCUUUAGGCUUCUGAAUUUGUCUUCCACAAAUUUUCUAAUGUAGUGAUAAUAGCAGGAACGGUACUUUGUCCAUCUGUGCUGAAUCUGAUUUGUGGACCUAGUUUCAGCAUUCGGGAUGUCAUAAUACAAUGUCAUGACAUCGUG
rnacentral:lncRNA from 1 species